CUUGGAACCUCUUGUAAAUCUCCUCCCACAAUCAACAAGAUUAUUCGUAGGUGUUCUGCUUCAUAUAAGCCUUCUGGAACUUCAAAUGAUCCAAAUUUACAGAGAAUAGAAGAAUGACGAGUUUGUAGCAGACUGCUUCCUGGAUGAGAAUGAUCCAGUAUCACAAAUUCUUUCCCUGCUACAUAUCUUGCAAGAUUGUGAAUGAUAUCACGCAUUUUAUACCUAGUCAUGCUGCCAGUGUUACAUUUCUCUGCUUCUUGAAAGAAACACAUCCACAGCAAAUCAUUGAAGUACUCAUUGCCAAUAUCUUCUGG
rnacentral:misc_RNA from 1 species